GCCCUCUUAGUUCAAUGGAUAGAACGGAGGUUUCCUAAACCUCUGAUUCAGGUUCGACUCCUGAGGAGGGCA
rnacentral:tRNA from 1 species